GGCCUCGCUCGUGACACCGUCAACUCCGGUGUGGUGGCUAUCAGCCACCUCUUCGCCUUCUUGGUAGCCAAGCUCACCUCCACUUCGAUCGCCUUCAAGGAGGACAACCUCCACAUCACGUGAUGUCCUCUGGCUUCCCCCACCGCCUCCUCCCAUUCCCCUGUGCUCCUGGCCCAUCCACCUCCCUCCCGAGACUUCCACGGUGACGACUCCAAUCAAGGCAGCGACAACGAAUAGGAGGGCGUGGAGAGCACAAAGCUCAACGAGGAGUACAACACCAUGCUGCAGUCGUCCGCCCUCGAGCUGAAGGCCCGUGCCAAGUGGAACUCAGAGGUGGUGAACGUGAUUGGGUUCUUCAACUUCACCAUGGAUUAGGUUUGUGCCUCAUGACACUUUUUCUCCUUUCAAUAGAUUUCUUUAGGGUUGUGCAACUGCUUGUCCGGAUGUGCUGGACGGAAGGAGGAGACAGUUCAAUUCUUUUUUUUACUGCCAUGUAGAUGUGGGGAGAUGAUGGGUAUGUCUUCCAUUAUGGAACACAGAUUCUGCCGUGUAGAUCAAUAGGUAGCUGGACAUUACUGCUCACAAAUGAGUAUCCCCUUUUCUCUAAUCUCAGUUCUCUCUCUAUUGAUAGCAUGUGUGGCUUGUGAAAUGGUGAUUGAGUGAAAUAUCCAGUUGUACAGGCAUCUGAAAAUAAUUAGUACAUACCUUCAGAAAGGGGUGUUCAAUAUACACUACUUCGAUUUAGAAAUUAACUGCAAGUUGUGCUUAUGUUGGCUCAAUUUGCUUUGCCAAAAAUAAGAAAUUAUGCAAGAUGCUAAUAAUAUAUGAAGUAGACGGCAUCUUGGUUUGUUCUGUCUUGAAGGCUAGUGCUCAAGAUCAAAGCCUCUUGGUUUGUUCUGUCUCCGUGUUAUGCUCAACCAUAGAACAAGAUUCAAAUCCUUCAAUCAUAUAGUUAUUGUUUUAGAAGACAAACUUCUUGUUUCCUGACAUGUUCACCUUUUUUAAUAUGGGCAUUUGAUUUUUUGCCACCCUGCCAUCCGGUAGAGUGGCAAAUUUGCCACUGAGCCCACUAUCAUAGACUCAGGAGGACCCAUUUGUCAUCCUUAGCGAGAAAUUGCCACUCCGGUAGAGUGGCAAAAAGUUAAAUAUUCCCAAAAGAGGAACAUGCUGCGCUUGAUUGCUUUAAAAUGGAGUUAAUUACUGGCAGUAUGAGGUCAAUGAUAUUGUGUCCUUUUGUUUAAUCAAAUGAUUGAAUGUUUGAUGGUAAGAAGCUAACCAAGUUGUUCAUUUCUUUGUAGAAUAAUUCAAUGAUAGUGUGUUUAUUCCAUGUCUUGUUUUGCCAUGGUCCAUUUUAAUGAAAAACCCUACUGUUUCUUUUGCUGUAGAUACCUGAAGCAAAAACAGUAGUGAAGAGGAUGCAACCUCAGCAUCAGUUAAAUCAAGUGCAGCAGUUUAGACUGAAGAAAUACCUGAGCCCCCUAGAAAUGAUUGGAUGCAUUUUCACACCGGUUUGUGGAUGCUAGAAAAUUUAUUUUUGUUAGAGAUUAUGUAUACUUGUAUGGAUGGAAGUGUGUAUGCUAAUAUAUUGUAUAACCGAGAGUUAUUACAUGGAAAUUUUUAUUUGAUGU